UAAAUGACAAUCAUAUUUAGUAACUUCUGCUCAAUGUAAAUCACAUCAAUUGCCGCAGUAUAUUAACUGUGCUAAGGUAGCAUAAUCACUUGUCUACUAAUUAUAGACCAGAAUGAAUGAAAUAAUGAAACUUCAACUGUCUCACGAAAUAACCAAAAAACUUACCUAAAGGUGAAGAGGCCUUUAUAAAACCAUAAGACAAGAAGACCCUUGGAGCUUAAUCUACGUAACACUCAAUAACUACACUAAAAUUCGACUGGGGCGAUCCAUAUACAACAAACAAUAUUCAACCACAAGAUAAACAAAUCAACAUACCGUAUAAUGACCUAUAAUAAAUAACUAAAGAAAAAACGCUACCCUAGGGAUAACAGACUAACUUUCUCCCAGAGUCCAUAUUAAAGAGAAAAUCUAGCACCUCGAUGUUGGCUUAUAGUACUUUAUCGGAGCAACAACUGAAUAAAUGGGUUUGUUCAACCCUCAAAAUA
rnacentral:rRNA from 1 species